UACGAAGGGGGCUAGCGUUGUUCGGAUUUACUGGGCGUAAAGCGCACGUAGGCGGAUCAUUAAGUCAGGGGUGAAAUCCUGGAGCUCAACUCCAGAACUGCCUUUGAUACUGGUGAUCUUGAGUCCGGAAGAGGUGAGUGGAACUCCUAGUGUAGAGGUGGAAUUCGUAGAUAUUAGGAAGAACACCAGUGGCGAAGGCGGCUCACUGGUCCGGUACUGACGCUGAGGUGCGAAAGCGUGGGGAGCAAACAGG
rnacentral:rRNA from 1 species